GCUGCUCAGAAAUCCCAGCCCCGGAGGAGCAAAGUCCGUGCCAGCUGGACGCCAGGGAAAAAGGCCAAUAAAGUCCAGCACCUUCCUGACACAGAGCAGGGCUGGCCAGGGGGUGAAGAGGUGCUCUUGCCCCUUGAACCUUUCCUGGCUACAAGAGAAAUCCCUUUCAUCCCACCCCCCCUUGGUUCGGGCUGUCCUUUCAUUUGAUAACAUCGUGUGGAUGUUGCUACAACCUCCUUGUUUAAACUGCAGCCACAGCCUUGUACCUUGCUGCCUGGAAACUGAGAUGAAAAGAAGAACAGGAUUUUUUUUUUUCUUUCACUGCUUUAGAACCCGUUUCCCCUCAGUUAAAUUCAACGACUUCAAAAGGCCAAGACCCCAUCCAUAAUGGGUGGGGGCUUCUAGUUUUGUUACCCAAAAGACAGCCUGUCACUGGCAGCCCUGCACAGUGCACCCCAGGGCUGUGCAGCUUGCCAGAGCUUUUCCUGGAGUUCCUGGGGAGAUGCAGCUUUGCUGGGAGACCCCUGAGGUUGCAGCCACUGUGAGGGCAGACUGGAAAGCUGCCUGGAUGUGCCAGGUCGGCUGGAAUUGCUCCACCAGGAGCCCAGAACAGCAAGACACAACCUGCAUCUCAUUGCUACAUCUGCAAGACCAAACCUUGCUGGGAAGCCAGGCUUGACCUGGGGUUCCACCAGGGUGACUAAGAGGGUGCUGCCAGCCCUUCAUGGCCUCUCUAACAGUGCAGCAACUCCUGGCUGCAACCCAAGGGCUUUCACAUUUCCUUCAGCACCCUCCACACCCACCUCCCACCACACCGGGGACAUCUGCAUGGCACAACUCA